GGCCCAAUGGUCUAGUGGUAUGAUUCGCCCUUCGGGUUAAAGGACAAUCCUCACGCUCAGCGUGACUGGGCGAGGCCCCGUGUUCGAAUCACGGUUGGGCCC
rnacentral:tRNA from 1 species